rnacentral:lncRNA from 1 species
GAGGUCUAAAGAUCAAACAGCAAUGAAGAAAGAUGCCUCUUCAAUACUGAAGUUGUUUCAAUCUUCUUAGAAGUUCUUUAGGUGACAGGUUUGUGUCAUCUGUAUCACUAAGGCUAUCGCUGCUGUCUGUAGUAUCUGAGCUGCUGUCUUUUUCUGAUUUUUUAUUUUUGUGUUUUCCUUUGGUUUUGUGUUUCCUAUGUUUCUUUUUCUUUUCCUUUUUAUGCUUGUGAUCUCUCUUAGUCCUGUGUUUCUCUCUGUUCUUUUUAUGUUUUUCUUUCCUACUAGGCCCUGGAGAACUUGCUGGCACUGCUGUUUCUUGUUGCCAUGUAGAACCUAAAGUGCAAAGCAAUGGAGAAACAAAAAGUACGAACAACAACGAAAAGGUAAUUUUUAUAUUUAACUUCUAUAUUAAUUUAAUAGGCUAGUUUAAAAAAAAAUCUUUCAAACAGGUGUGAAAUGUAUAAACUUCUAACUGCAAUAUUCCCACUGUAAUUAAACACCUUUUUAAUCUGUUAAUAAGGAAACUGCAAUGCUCAUACUAUAUCUCCAUUACACUUCAUUAACCCUGGCUCUGUG